rnacentral:rRNA from 1 species
GACGAACGCUGGCGGCGUGCUUAACACAUGCAAGUCGAACGGAAAGGCCCUGCUUGCAGGGUACUCGAGUGGCGAACGGGUGAGUAACACGUGGGUGAUCUGCCCUGCACUUCGGGAUAAGCUUGGGAAACUGGGUCUAAUACCGGAUAGGACCGCACUUUAGUGUGUGUGGUGGAAAGUUUUUUCGGUGUAGGAUGAGCUCGCGGCCUAUCAGCUUGUUGGUGGGGUAAUGGCCUACCAAGGCGGCGACGGGUAGCCGGCCUGAGAGGGUGUACGGCCACAUUGGGACUGAGAUACGGCCCAGACUCCUACGGGAGGCAGCAGUGGGGAAUAUUGCACAAUGGGCGCAAGCCUGAUGCAGCGACGCCGCGUGGGGGAUGAAGGCCUUCGGGUUGGAAACUCCUUUCGCUAGGGACGAAGCUUUUUGUGACGGUACCUAGAUAAGAAGCACCGGCUAACUACGUG